GACGUAGGGCGCGAGCGUUGUCCGGAUUUAUUGGGCGUAAAGAGCUCGUAGGCGGUCUGUCGCGUCGGCUGUGAAAACUCGGGGCUCAACCCCGAGCCUGCAGUCGAUACGGGCAGACUAGAGUGCGGUAGGGGAGACUGGAAUUCCUGGUGUAGCGGUGAAAUGCGCAGAUAUCAGGAGGAACACCGGUGGCGAAGGCGGGUCUCUGGGCCGUAACUGACGCUGAGGAGCGAAAGCGUGGGUAGCAAACAGG
rnacentral:rRNA from 1 species